CCCAACUAUCCCUAUUAAUCAUUACGGUGGUCCUAGACCAACAAAAUAGAACCAACGUCCUAUUCUAUUAUUCCAUGCUAAUCUAUUCAAGCAAAAGCCCGCUUUAAACACUCUAAUUUUUUCAAGGUAAUGGUCCUGGUUCCCCGGCACACCCAGUUAAGGACAUACCGGCUCACCAGAAGGAUAGACCCGACAACAGACAGUACUCGCCAGAGACGGACCGCCCGGUCAGGCCUAAAAUUCAACUACGAGCUUUUUAACUGCAACAACUUUAAUAUACGCUAUUGGAGCUGGAAUUACCGCGGCUGCUGGCACCAGACUUGCCCCUCCAA
rnacentral:misc_RNA from 1 species